rnacentral:rRNA from 1 species
GAUGAACGCUAGCUACAGGCUUAACACAUGCAAGUCGAGGGGAAACGGCAUUGAGUGCUUGCACUCUUUGGACGUCGACCGGCGCACGGGUGAGUAACGCGUAUCCAACCUUCCCAUUACUGUGGGAUAACCUGCCGAAAGGCAGACUAAUACCGCAUAGUCUUCGAUGACGGCAUCAGAUUUGAAGUAAAGAUUUAUCGGUAAUGGAUGGGGAUGCGUCUGAUUAGCUUGUUGGCGGGGUAACGGCCCACCAAGGCGACGAUCAGUAGGGGUUCUGAGAGGAAGGUCCCCCACAUUGGAACUGAGACACGGUCCAAACUCCUACGGGAGGCAGCAGUGAGGAAUAUUGGUCAAUGGACGGAAGUCUGAACCAGCCAAGUAGCGUGCAGGAUGUCGGCCCUAUGGGUUGUAAACUGCUUUUGUAUGGGGAUAAAGUUAGGGACGUGUCCCUAUUUGCAGGUACCAUACGAAUAAGGACCGGCUAAUUCCGUG